CCUACGGGUGGCAGCAGUGGGGAAUAUUGGACAAUGGGCGAAAGCCUGAUCCAGCCAUGCCGCGUGUGUGAAGAAGGCCUUCGGGUUGUAAAGCACUUUCAGUGGGGAAGAAAGCCUUGGGGCUAAUACCCUCGAGGAAGGACAUCACCCACAGCAGAAGCACCGGCUAACUCCGUGCCAGCAGCCGCGGUAAUACGGAGGGUGCGAGCGUUAAUCGGAAUUACUGGGCGUAAAGCGCGCGUAGGCGGUCUGAUAAGCCGGUUGUGAAAGCCCCGGGCUCAACCUGGGAACGGCAUCCGGAACUGUCAGGCUAGAGUGCAGGAGAGGAAGGUAGAAUUCCCGGUGUAGCGGUGAAAUGCGUAGAGAUCGGGAGGAAUACCAGUGGCGAAGGCGGCCUUCUGGACUGACACUGACGCUGAGGUGCGAAAGCGUGGGUAGCAAACAGGAUUAGAUACCCCUGUAGUC
rnacentral:rRNA from 1 species